UGCUCCUGCCCCAGGAGGAGGCCCAGCACAGAGGGAGGAAGGACAGCAGAGCUCACACAUCAGACAGCAGUGCUUGUGGGCCUUUCUGGAGCAGAAAUUCUUCUCUCACAGGGAGGGACACAGCAGGCACCAGGCACCAUGGAGCCCCCCUCAGCCCCUGCCCACGGAGGGCGCAUCUCCUGGCACAGGCUUCUGUUGGCAGUCUCACUCCUAAGCUUCUGGAACCUGCCCGCCACUGCCCAGAUCACUAUUGAAUCAGUGCCCUUCAAAACUGCAGAAGGAAGGGAUGUUCUUCUACUUGCCCACAAUGCGACAGAGGAUACUCUAGGCUACAGCUGGUACAGAGGAGAAAGAGUAGAGAACAACCAACUAAUUAUAUUAUAUAGAGUAGACAUUCAAGCAAAUACCACAGGGCCUGCAUACAGUGGUCGAGAGAUAAUCUACCCCAAUGGAUCCCUGCUGUUCCAGAAUGCCACCCAGAAUGACACAGGAUACUACACUCUGAUGGUUACAAAGAAUGAUUUACAGAGAGAAAUUGUAACUGGACUACUCCGUGUAUACCCACCAGUGACAAAGCCCAUCAUUGAAGCCAACAGCACCACCGUCACAGAACAAAAGGACACCGUGGUCCUGACCUGCAUCAUAAAUGACACUGAGGUCUCCAUACGCUGGCUCUUCAAUGGCCAGAGUCUACUGCUCACAGAAAGGAUAAAGCUGUCCCAGGAAAACAGCACCCUCACCAUAGAGCCCGUCAGGAGGGAGGAUGCUGGGAAUUAUCAGUGCGAGGCCUCCAACCCAGGAAAUUCCAGCCUAAGUGACCCUCUCAGGCUGGAUGUGAAAUACCCAGUGGCAAAGCCCAUCGUCGAAGCCAACAGCACCACCGUCACAGAACACGAGGACACCGUGGUCCUGAAAUGCCUCACAAAUGACACCGGGGUCGCCAUCUCCUGGUUCUUCAAUGGCCAGAGUCUACUGCUCACAGAGAGGAUGGAGCUGUCCCAGGACAACGGCACCCUCACCAUAGAGCCCGUCAGGAGGGAGGAUGCUGGGCAUUAUCAGUGCGAGGCCUCCCACCUGGGCAAUUCCAGCAAAAGUGACCCCCUCAGGCUGGAUGUGAAAUACCCAGUGGCAAAGCCCAUCGUCGAAGCCAACAGCACCACCGUCACAGAACACGAGGACACCGUGGUCCUGAAAUGCCUCACAAAUGACACCGGGGUCGCCAUCUCCUGGUUCUUCAAUGGCCAGAGUCUACUGCUCACAGAGAGGAUGGAGCUGUCCCAGGACAACGGCACCCUCACCAUAGAGCCCGUCAGGAGGGAGGAUGCUGGGCAUUAUCAGUGCGAGGCCUCCCACCUGGGCAAUUCCAGCAAAAGUGACCCCCUCAGGCUGGAUGUGAAAUACCCAGUGGCAAAGCCCAUCGUCGAAGCCAACAGCACCACCGUCACAGAACACGAGGACACCGUGGUCCUGAAAUGCCUCACAAAUGACACCGGGGUCGCCAUCUCCUGGUUCUUCAAUGGCCAGAGUCUACUGCUCACAGAGAGGAUGGAGCUGUCCCAGGACAAUGGCACCCUCACCAUAGAGCCCGUCAGGAGGGAGGAUGCUGGGCAUUAUCAGUGCGAGGCCUCCCACCUGGGCAAUUCCAGCAAAAGUGACCCCCUCAGGCUGGAUGUGAAAUACCCAGUGGCAAAGCCCAUCGUCGAAGCCAACAGCACCACCGUCACAGAACACGAGGACACCGUGGUCCUGAAAUGCCUCACAAAUGACACCGGGGUCGCCAUCUCCUGGUUCUUCAAUGGCCAGAGUCUACUGCUCACAGAGAGGAUGGAGCUGUCCCAGGACAACGGCACCCUCACCAUAGAGCCCGUCAGGAGGGAGGAUGCUGGGCAUUAUCAGUGCGAGGCCUCCCACCUGGGCAAUUCCAGCAAAAGUGACCCCCUCAGGCUGGAUGUGAAAUACCCAGUGGCAAAGCCCAUCGUCGAAGCCAACAGCACCACCGUCACAGAACACGAGGACACCGUGGUCCUGAAAUGCCUCACAAAUGACACCGGGGUCGCCAUCUCCUGGUUCUUCAAUGGCCAGAGUCUACUGCUCACAGAGAGGAUGGAGCUGUCCCAGGACAACGGCACCCUCACCAUAGAGCCCGUCAGGAGGGAGGAUGCUGGGCAUUAUCAGUGCGAGGCCUCCCACCUGGGCAAUUCCAGCAAAAGUGACCCCCUCAGGCUGGAUGUGAAAUACCCAGUGGCAAAGCCCAUCGUCGAAGCCAACAGCACCACCGUCACAGAACACGAGGACACCGUGGUCCUGAAAUGCCUCACAAAUGACACCGGGGUCGCCAUCUCCUGGUUCUUCAAUGGCCAGAGUCUACUGCUCACAGAGAGGAUGGAGCUGUCCCAGGACAACGGCACCCUCACCAUAGAGCCCGUCAGGAGGGAGGAUGCUGGGCAUUAUCAGUGCGAGGCCUCCCACCUGGGCAAUUCCAGCAAAAGUGACCCCCUCAGGCUGGAUGUGAAAUACCCAGUGGCAAAGCCCAUCGUCGAAGCCAACAGCACCACCGUCACAGAACACGAGGACACCGUGGUCCUGAAAUGCCUCACAAAUGACACCGGGGUCGCCAUCUCCUGGUUCUUCAAUGGCCAGAGUCUACUGCUCACAGAGAGGAUGGAGCUGUCCCAGGACAACGGCACCCUCACCAUAGAGCCCGUCAGGAGGGAGGAUGCUGGGCAUUAUCAGUGCGAGGCCUCCCACCUGGGCAAUUCCAGCAAAAGUGACCCCCUCAGGCUGGAUGUGAAAUACCCAGUGGCAAAGCCCAUCAUCGAAGCCAACAACACCACCGUCACAGAACACGAGGACACCGUGGUCCUGAAAUGCCUCACAAAUGACACCGGGGUCGCCAUCUCCUGGUUCUUCAAUGGCCAGAGUCUACUGCUCACAGAGAGGAUGGAGCUGUCCCAGGACAACGGCACCCUCACCAUAGAGCCCGUCAGGAGGGAGGAUGCUGGGCAUUAUCAGUGCGAGGCCUCCCACCUGGGCAAUUCCAGCAAAAGUGACCCCCUCAGGCUGGAUGUGAAAUAUGAUUCAGCAACUGGCCUCUCAAGUGGUGCUGUUGCCGGGAUCGUGACUGGAGCCCUGGCUGGGGUAGCUCUGAUAGGAGCCUUGGUGUAUAUUCUGUGUGUGAUAUAGACCAAAUGGGCAAGUGACCGGCAUGAUAUCACAGAGCACAAAUCCCCAGACUUCAACCAUAGUAAGUCACAGCCAUGUCAACAACUCACCUAACAAGAUCGAUGAAGGUGCCUAUUCUUCCCUGAACCUCAAUGCCCAGGAAUCAAAGAAAUCUACUUUAGCACCUCCAUCUCCAAUAGCCACAGAAACGAUUCAUUCAGAAGUUUAAAAAAAAAAAGAGAGAGAGAGAAAUGCAGCCAGUCCUGCUUGAUGCACUGCUGACUUAUUCCAAGCUUCUCAGCCCCAUCCCCAGGAGACCCCUUUCCCCUCAGGGAAAAUGGGAAGAGGGUCUUUCCCCCCCUUCAUUCCCCAGUGAGGCUCAUCCAGGCUGCCUAGUCACAGCCUCCUCCUUCGGUGUCAGUAGAUGAAAAGGCACAUGUAGGAGGAGGUCUGCAGGAAACCCAACCGUCCUUGUCAGUGACAUGCGGCAAAGCAGACCUUGGGAGAGAGGUGCCAGGGCCUCUGCCCCUCCCCAUUUCCUGACCUAAACUGGUUUUAAACUUGCCUGUUCAGAACACACUCAUUCCUUCCCACCUCAGCCCUGUCCUACUGGAGUCUAACUUGAAUUUGGCAUAACUUUAAGAGUUAUGUCCUUUUGCACUGGAAGACGUGCCAUUUCUGGAAGAAAUGAGGAGAGAAAAAGGAAGAGGAAAAGCUUCUCCUUGCUCUCCAAAACCUGGUGUGAACUCAACACCACAGGGAAAUACCAACUUGGGACUGUAAAUUUUACACCUUUGUCCGCUGUCAAGGUUAUCUAUUUUCAGGACCUGGGCCUAAACACCUUGUUGCUCACCUAGAAUACCACCUGGCCUUUGGAAAGUCUAUCUUCAGAGAAUCUAUUAAAAGCAACUAGAAAACAAACAAACAAAUAAACAAACAAAAAAGGA